UAAGCAUAUAAGUAAGUGUUGGAAAUUGAACCAAAUGGGAUUCCUUAAGUAAUUGCGAAUGAACAAGGACAUGCUUAGCUUGACAAUUGGAGCCUCUGGCUUCGACUUGUAUUUUUGAAAUGUAUUACCAACAGAGGUGCAGGUGUCAGCCUAUUGAAAGAAAGCGUCAAUGAGGGUGAGAAUCCUGUUUGUCAUGUGCAAUCCUCUGUGCACGGUGUAUGUUUGCUGAGUCACACUCCUUGGCAUUGGAAUGCAAAGUGGGUGGUAAGUUUCAUGUAAAGGUAAAUAUAGGAUUGAGACUGAUAGCACACAAGUACCAUGAGGGAAAUAUGAAAAGGACUUUGAAAAGAGAAUUAAAUGAGUUUGUAUUUGCUGAACAGAAAAUAAACAGAUUUGAUGUUGCUUGGUGAGAUUGUGGUGCUUGCUUGACAAUAGGUUUUGAUUGUGGGUGCGAUGAUUCUUGCUUUGCUUGCCAGUUUCUAUUUGUACAUUUGAUUACCCUUGCACAUGAAUGGUAAUUUUCCUGCGGGGUUUGGAUUGCAUGUGUUUGUGAUGAUUUGUGUUUUGAUGCAUGUGUCUGGUGCUUUUGUAAUUGCUCAUUUCUUGAAGCUGGGCCUACCCUACUAGAGCUUACAAGUCU
rnacentral:rRNA from 1 species